rnacentral:RNase_P_RNA from 1 species
CGAGUCUGAUAAAUGAUCGCGCCUUUUCAUUCCGAAAGGAGAAAGGUGAGGAAAGUCCGGGCUUCACAGGGCAGGAUGCCGGAUAACGUCCGGUGGAGGCGACUCUAAGGAUAGUGCAACAGAAAUAUACCGCCGCUUUUUCUUUUGAAGAAGCGGUAAGGGUGGAAGGGUAAGGUAAGAGCUUACCGGUUUCCUGGUAACAGGAGGCGUCCUAUGUAAACCCCAUCCGAAGCAAGGCCGUGAAAGGAACUAUGAUUUCGCCCGAAUCGUUCUUUGGUAGGCCGCUAAAGCCUGUUGGCAACAGCAGGACAAGAUAGAUGAUCAUUCGCGACAUAACCCGGCUUAUCGUCAGGCUCGUUUU